UUUGUACUCCCUCCGUCUGGAUUACUUGUCGUAGAAAUGGAUAAAAUGGAUGUAUCUAGAACAAAAAUAUGUCUAGAUACAUCCAUUUCUCCGACAAGUAUUUUCAUACGGAGCGAGUAGAUA
rfam:Triticum aestivum genome assembly, contig: Triticum_aestivum_CS42_TGACv1_scaffold_432937_5DL